rnacentral:rRNA from 1 species
GAUGAACGCUGGCGGCGUGCCUAAUACAUGCAAGUCGAGCGAACAGACGAGGAGCUUGCUCCUCUGACGUUAGCGGCGGACGGGUGAGUAACACGUGGAUAACCUGCCUAUAAGACUGGGAUAACUUCGGGAAACCGGAGCUAAUACCGGAUAAUAUAUUGAACCGCAUGGUUCAAUAGUGAAAGACGGUUUUGCUGUCUCUUAUAGAUGGAUCCGCGCCGCAUUAGCUAGUUGGUAAGGUAACGGCUUACCAAGGCAACGAUGCGUAGCCGACCUGAGAGGAUGAUCGGCCACACUGGAACUGAGACACGGUCCAGACUCCUACGGGAGGCAGCAGUAGGGAAUCUUCCGCAAUGGGCGAAAGCCUGACGGAGCAACGCCGCGUGAGUGAUGAAGGUCUUCGGAUCGUAAAACUCUGUUAUUAGGGAAGAACAAAUGUGUAAGUAACUAUGCACGUCUUGACGGUACCUAAUCAGAAAGCAACGGCUAACUACGUG